GUCCAAGGGCCAGUUUUCCGCCGGAGGCGGAGCUUCGCGCGGCCCCUGCGUGCCGGUGGAGCGGGGCGGGGCUUGCCGCCGGCGGAGGGCGGGGUCUGCGCGGGGACUUCCCCUGGGCUGAUCUGCGCUGCGGGGUUUUGGCCAAAUUGGGCGAGGGCACAAAAUAACCACUUACCCCUUCUCACCGAGGAAGAGCGGGAGAAAGGGUAUGGCACAGUCACAAGGGUGGGUGAAAAGAUACCUCAAGGCCUUUUGUAAAGGCUUCUUUGUGGCGGUGCCUGUGGCAGUGACUUUCUUGGAUCGGGUCGCCUGUGUGGCAAGAGUGGAAGGAGCAUCAAUGCAGCCUUCUUUGAAUCCUGGGGGAAGCCAGUCAUCUGAUGUGGUGCUUUUGAACCACUGGAAAGUAAGGAAUUUUGAAGUACACCGUGGUGACAUUGUAUCAUUGGUGUCUCCUAAAAACCCAGAACAAAAGAUCAUUAAGAGGGUGAUUGCUCUUGAAGGCGAUAUUGUCAGAACUAUAGGACACAAAAACCGGUAUGUGAAAGUCCCCCGUGGUCACAUCUGGGUUGAAGGUGAUCAUCAUGGACACAGUUUUGACAGUAAUUCUUUUGGGCCGCUAAGUGCUUAGAUGGCUGAAAUCCUGCCUGUGAUCAACUGGUGAAGUUUCAUGGGAUUUGGAGUCAGUCCGUCUUUCUUUUUUAGAACGUAAAAGAUAUGGAAAACAUGUGUCUGGGUCCUUAAUAGUGUUCGUUUGUUAUGAAUAAAUAUUCAGUGAAUAAUCAGGGUUAGAAUGUCACACUUUGAUAGUGCUGAGUGCCAUAUCUUGAAUGACAUAGGGGCCCAUGUGUUCUUCAAUAAAUUUAAUUUUUUUAAAACUUGUGAUGUGCAGGUUUUCCAAAAACACAGGCACCAAAAAAGCAAUACCUCUUGUCCAGGCCUCAGGGCAGUCUGGCUCAAAGAGCUAGUAUAAACUCAUUCAAACCCUUUGAUUCUGUCUCCCACCAAAUUUUCCAGAUCAAUUUUUACCUGCUUAUGCCUUGAUCAUUCUCAAAUUUACCAAUUAGUUUUGCAUUUUUGUAUCUAGACACGGGCUGCCAUUUCCUCUCCCUUUCAUUAUCUUGUGCCUGCCCACCUGAAUCUGGACAAUGACUACUUCCAGACCUACUCUAACAUGAAGUCUUACUUCUGACUAAGCUAGUUACUCCACACAGCAUUUGCAGUAUAAUUGCACAGUUAUUCUGUGUGUAAAGACUGUGAACUUUGCCAGGGCAGCUAUGGGAGCUAACUCAUCCUUGUAUCCCUGUAGCCCAGAACUGGGAACAGAGUUUAACAGCUGUUUCAUGACACAGUUAAUGGCCAAUUUCUGCACAGUAAAGGUUCAUCUAGAACAGGGUUCAGUGAAAUAUGGCCCUUGAACCAAAUCUGGCCCAUUCCUAUUUCUGUAUAAAAGAAGUGAUGUUGAAACACAGCCACACUCUGGCUUUCAUAUUGACUGGCUGCUUUCCCGCUAUAACGGCUGAGUUCAGUACUUGCAACAGAGACUUAUAUCCCACAUAUCCUAAAAUUUUUAUAAUCUGCUCUUUAUAGAAAAAGCUUGCCAACCCCUGAUCCUCGUGAAUUAAUAAUAGAUAACUUUAGAAAGACUGGUUAAGGAAUAAUUAUGUUUUACCAUUAAUAGGAAAGUCAGAAUUUUGAACAUUAUCAAGAAUGGACUAAAAAGCCAUUUACAUUUUGGAACAAGAGAGUAGUAAGUUAUGAGAGGUGUCCUGGAAAGACUGGUUAGGAAAAUUGUGAAUGAAAGAUUAGAUUGCAAAUAGGAUAUAGGUAGAAACUGCAGUCAUUUGAUGUGACUGUUAGUUCAAAUGGGAGAUGAUUAGGCAUUAGGCCAAGGGGUUAGUAAUAAAAAUAUGAAGUAGAUUGACUUAUAAGAGUCCUUAGGAACCAAGAAUUGAUUGAUGUCUGUUAGAUUCUGGUCCUUCAUAUUAACUCACCACAUCUGUUAGAGAAAUUCACCAGCUGGAAUCCUAAACUAACUUCAUUCUAAUCUCUGAUGGGUCAAACCUUAAAAUUAAGCAUAAGCAGCAGUCUUGGCUAUGUGAUGAGAGUUGUGCUGCCCGGUAAGGAUUAGAUGUGUGUCCCUGACCUUGGGAGUGGCAGUCAGGUCUUGUUCACAACCCCUUAAACUUAUAGGCAAAUAUUAUUCCAUCCAAAAUAUCAAAGUUCUAUUCUGUUACACUUAGCAUCCAUGUCAGCUCACCCCCCAACUCAUUUCAGGCUUCAUUACUCUUUUUGGUAAAGUUCUCGCACGUUUCAAAGGCAUAGACAAUUCCCAGAACGUAGAGGCUAAAAGAAGGAAACAUAGCAGGAUGAAUAUUUUGGUAAACCAGCUGAAAGAAAAGCAUGUUUUAAAAAUUUAUUUUCCAUUAUUAUUUAAAACACACACAAAUAUGUAUUUUUUCAAAAUUAAAAUGUUUUCAGUACAUCAAUGCAUUGUGGGAAGUUACAAACAAUAUUUUUUAAUUAAAAAAUGUUUUCAUAAAGAAAUGUAUCAAUUUUGCUGAAGAAAUGAUACAGAAUGUUCACACCUCUUUCGAGUUACAUUAAUCUCCCCUUUAAAUAAAGUUACUGUAUUAAAACAUGUAUAUUGGCAUUGUGAACUGAAAUUAGGAUGUGAUCCAUGGAAAGAAAGAAAGGGGAAACGGUAAGCCUUCAUCAAGUUGUGGAAUACUGAACUUUUCUGAUUACUAAGCCUGAUUUUCAUAAAGACAAUAGUCGUUAACCAGAACCUACUUAGGCUAACAACUGCAUUAGGCUGCAGUUUUGCUUAGAUCUCCAGUGGUUUUAUUUACAGUUGAAGAGCCUCCACCAAACCAUUUUCAAAGCUGCUCAAAUCUCCCUUGUGAAAUGCAGCUGCCUGUUCCCCACUGAGGCUUUAAACUCCGUCUGCCUACUAUUUAUUGGGAAGCUGCAGGCAAAUGAAACAUUCGUCUCAAAUUAGCCAUGAUUAUAUUUGGGUUGUUCAUAUAAAUUAAGUUUCACUUCACAAAAACCUAAUGAGAUUAUAAAUUAUGUCAUUUCUACAAGUCACUAUGGAAUUAUGUAGACACUAGUCAAGGAGAAAUUCUAAUCUUCACAAAAUAUUUGGUACGGAGUCUUUUAAAACAAACUGUAUUGCAUUCUUCUUCUGUCAUUAAAAAAAUAAAAACACAGACACAAACACAAAGCAUAGUCUUUCAAACCAAGAAAACAUAUGUGCUAAAUAGGGAAUGAUAAUAACCACUAAAUGAAUGGAUUCUUUAAAUCUACUGGCAUGGUUUCACUAGGCGAUUGUUCUUAGAUUUAGUGUGUUAUCCUGCACUGAUUGAAAAGUAAUAGUACAAAAAUGAGUCAGGCUGUUUUAAAGGUCAUUCAUCAAAGUGCAUGGUACUUAAAUAGCUUUUUUGCCCAGCUGGGCAUUACUGGUUAAACCGUUACAUUUUUUCAAGUAGUAUUUGCGGCUAAUUGAAUGUUUGUCCCCUCCAAAAUUCAUGUUAAAAUUCAAUUGCUGUUUUAACAGUAUUAUCAGGUGGAAUGUUUAAGAGGUGAUUAGUCCAUGAGGGUUCCACCCUCAUGGCUGGGAUUAAUGCCUUCUAAAAGGGGGACUUCAGUCCCCUUUUUCCUCUUUGCCCUUCUGCCGCCUGCUAUGUGUGGAAAAAGUAUUCUUCCCCUCCAAAGGAUGCAGUAUUGAAGGUGUCAUCUUGAUAUCAGAAUCACCAAACCUGCUGGUUCCUGAACAUUGGACUUCCCAGUCUCCAAAACUAGUCUUGCUCUGUCACCCAGGCUUGAGUGCAGGGUCACAGUCUUGGGCUCACUGCAGCCUCUGCCUCUGGUUCAAAGGAUUCUCCUGUCUCAGACUCCCAAGCAGCUUGAACUACAGGUAUGCACCACCAUGCCAGGCUAAGUUUGUUGUAUUUUUAGAACAGACAGGGUUUCACUAUGCUGGCCAGGCUGGCCUUGAACUCCUGGUCUCCCUCAAGUGAUCCGCCUGCUUUGGCCUCCCAAGAUGCUGGGACUUUCUUUUAACUUUUAAUAAAUGUAGCAGGAAUGUCUUUCAUCAACAUCACCAUAAAAAGAAAAUAAUAAUAAAAUGGAAGAAAUCAUCUAACAAACAGAGAAAUAAUUUUUGUGGUGGUAGCUCCCCACAAAUGUCACAAGUCACUGCACUUGUAUCUAAAGACAACACUGAAUGGUGCUUUGAAGGUGGUUUCAAUCAUGAGACUAAAGAGGUAGCAUUUGCCUACCAAAUACCUGUCACUUCUACUCCAAGGCCUUCUGAGGCUAUGGGGAAGCCUAAUCCCAUGGCCAUGAGCAGGAGCAGUUGUCCAGUGUUGCAAAUUUCUCUUUGAGACAUGGGACAGGGAAUGUUCUGACCUCUAGUUCUCAAUCCAGAGGGUCAGCUUGGGUCCAGUUCCAGUCCUGCACCAAUUAGCUAUGACAGUGGAGACAGGAUCUAGUUGAGAAAGGACUGUGAUUGGCCUAGCUUGAGUUGAGUGUCCAUCCUGGAAGAAUCAAUCGUUGUCAAGGGCUGGAAUAUUCUGGUUGUCAUGGUUUGGACCAGGUAUCCACCUCUAGACCAGACAAUUCUGAGUAGGGGCAGGAUUAUAUAAAAAUUAUGGAAGCUCCAUGGAAACCUUAUCUUGAUGAUGCCAGUACAGAGAAAGGACUUGUUGUUCCCAGAUAAUACAGAGUACUAGGCAGACAAAAGAACAUACAACAAUGUAAUAUAAUAAAAGGUAAAAAGUAUAAAAGCCAGAGACAGAGGCGCAACAUCAGGAAGUUCUUAGACAUGAUAUCUAGCAAGAAAGAAUUCAAAGGCAUUAAUCAGUUUAACCUUGAAGAAAAGAUAGGAUUUGGAUUUAUGGACAAGUGGAAAAGUAACUUUCUAGAAGCAGAAAACAAGAUAGCGGAAGCUUGGAGGUGGAAGUGUUUGGAGUACCUACCGGGUCCUUGAGCAAUUUUGUUUGGCUAGAUGUGCAACUACAAGAAGAGCCAGGUCUGAAGGCGUUACCAAGGACCUUCAACAUCACACAAAGAAGUCUGAAUAUUAUCUUGCAGGCUGUGAAUCACCAUAGAAGGCUUUUGAGCAUGUUAGAGAAACGGUUAAAACCAUAAGUUAAAAACAAUAAUCUGGCAGUGUUGUGUAAAAUGAGUUGGAGAAUAAGAAACAAAAGGUGAAAAACCUCCAAACUCGCAAAGGUCUUGCAGUAUAGCUACAGUAAGCAAAUUAGGACAGCAGUUCCCAGACCUGACUGUGUUUAGGAAACACUUGGGUCACUUGUUAAAAAUGCAGAUGCUUGUGCUAACUCCACAAAGGUUUGGGGCUUGGGGAAUCUGCAUUUUUUUAAAGCAACAAUAACGAGGUGAACUGUGUCCUGAGUACCAUACUUUGAGAAAUGCUGAUCUUGAGAAGUAAUAGGAGAACCAAUUUAAGAAUAAUAUAGUGUGAAAGAGUCCUUAUUCACCCUUGCUGAGCUUUCAAAGGUCUGAAGUUAGCCCUGGCCUUGGUAUAAUGGGCUUAAAGUCAGAGCCAAGCAGAAGGUUGAGAUAUGAAGCCUCACUCUCUCCAAAGUUUAUGUGGGCUCUGUUUCAUGUGGUGGUACCUCUCUGUGGGUAAGUCAACUAGAAACCUUAUAGCAUGACUCACCCAAAGAAUAGCACUGAGUUCUAGUGGGGAACAGUGCCAGUGAAGAAUAAUAUAUUCUGUUUUAAGACUAAGUGUGGUUAGUUUAUGUGGGUUCAAGAUUCUGUUCUCUACUUGCAAUCUAUGCAAAUUCAAAUUUUGGGCAAUUAAAACAAUAAAGGGUAACGUCCUAUUUAAAAAAUGGGAGAUUAAUAUUAAUCAUCAGAUUUUUGGAGGCUUUGCUAUGACAGAGGGAGAAGUGAUAAGUGGUCCUAGAAGCAGUAUAUAUGAGCACUGUAUUUGUAGACCUUGCUUGGCUAUUCUUUGUUAAAUAAUUAAAUAUAAGUCUUUUAAAAAAUCUAUGCCUCCUAAAUCAAGAGCAAUAAAUAAGUUGUUCUGUGCUGCUAAAUUCUGAGAUCUUUGUUUAGAUAAAUUUAGUCUGUGUGCCAGAUAGUAUUUCAUACUUAAAAAAAAUCUAUUGUAUAUCAUACUUUUGCAACAUAUAAGUCUCACUGUAGUUUAUCUUAGAUUAAGAAUUAUUAAAGGUAUGAAUCUGGUAGAAUUUGCUUUGCAUAUCCUCUUCUUUUCUCUUUUCACCUUUUACCUUCCAUAAUAUUCUUUUGCAGGUCAGCUAAACAACUGGGCUUUGAAAGAUUACUCAUCCAUUUGGUUCAGGAUUUGUCAGCAUUAUGUUCAUGUUGCUGAAACCCGUGAUCGCUUCCAAAUAUCCAUCUUAGCCUUUCAGCAGUAUUUGAUGUGGUUGGCCACUUCCUUUUUAAAACAUUUUGAUAAUCUUCUUCUUCUAGCAUCCGUGAACCUUUAAAACCAGUCACUUUUUCUAGGCCUCUUUUGCAUUUUCAUCCUUCUCUGCCAGAUUUCUAGAUUUUGUCGUGCCCCUGAACUUGAUCCUGAAUGUUCAUCCGAACUUAAACGCUCCCUAAGAAAAUUGACCCCUUGUUUUUAAAUGCUAUGUUUAUGCAUUGUUACUCAGAUUCAUAUCUUGAGAUGGUAUUACAAUUAGAUGUUCAAGAAACGUCUUAAAUUUAACAUGUCUAAAAGGAAACUCUCCAUUCCCUUCCUUCCUACUUCCAUCUUUUUUACUCAGAUUUCUUCCAUUUCAGUAGAUGGCACCAUCCACCCAGUUACUCAAGAAACAAAGUUAGGAGGCAUCCUUGGGGUCUCACUUUUUAUUGCCCCCAGCUGCCUAGUAAGACCUGUGGCUCUUCCACCAACAUCCCAGACUUGUAAUUUCUUCCAUCUCUACUGCUGCCUCACUGAUUCAGGUCAUCAUCUGUGUCAUUACAAAAGCCUCCUAACUGGGCUGCAUGCUUCCCCUCUUCAUCUUCUAAACCUCAACGUCUCUGUGGUAGCUGCAGUUAUCUUAUCUAGCCUACAUGAAACACUUCAGUGGUUUCCUGUUGCUGUAAGAAUUAAAAGUGUCAAGUUUUCUCUGGUUCACUUGCCACGGCCUUCAGGGCCCUCACAUUAUAUGGCCUCUACAUCUCUCCCCCUUCUAUGCUUGCACCUCUCUGAUCUCUCAGUUCUUUGAACUGGAGAAAGGUCAUUUGUCCUAGCUAGAUCCCCUUCCUUUAAUUCAUUCCUUUAAUUCACUUCCUUUAGGUCUUUUUGUAGUUGGCUCUUUAUUUUCCCCACUUCAGGGAAGAUUUUUUCUGUGCAUCUAACAAAAUAGAAGACACACACACACACACACACACACACACACACACACCCCUGCUUCUAGCUACUAUGACUCUUAUUUUAUUUCUUUAUUCAUGCUUAUAUUUUUAUCCAAUAGAAAUUAAGCUUCAUGAGGUCAGGGACCUUGUCCUUUAGAUUCAUUGCUGUAGCACAGUGCCUGGCUCAUAAUAGGCACUGAAUAUGUCUUGUUAAAUAAAUAAAAUUUCUGUUCUGUGAGUGAGUUUAGCACUCAUGAUGCCUUCUGGUUCAGAAAUAAGUCAGUGGAAAGCAUACAAGAAGGACAUCUGGCUGGGUUCGGUGGCUCACGCCUAUAAUCACAGCACUUUGAAAGGCCAAUGCGGAUGGAUCAUGAGGUCCAGAGUUUGAGACCAGCCUUAUCAACAUGGUGAAACUCCAUCUCUACUAAAAAAAAUUUGAAAAUUAGCUGGGCAUGGUGGCACACGCCUGUAAUCCCAGCUACACAGGAGGCUGAGGCAGGAGAAUUGCCUGAACCUGGGAAACGGAGGUUGCAGUGAGUCGAGGUCAUGCUACUCCCCUCCAACCUGGAUGAUAGAGUGAGACUCCAUCUCAAAAAAAAAAAAAAAAAAAACAGGACAUUUGACAUCUUUGGGAAAAAAAGACUAAAAUGAACUUAAAGUGGUUAGUGGAGACUGGAAGAAGGCUUCUGACAUGAUGUACUUUUCAGAAGGAGGAUGAGAUGGAUAACACCUUAAAAAUCGACGGUGAUUCAAGCAAGCAAAGCAAACAGAACAGGAAGAAACAGGACCAAAGAAAAAGUUUCUUUUAGGUAGAGCACAGGGCUUUUGUGAUAGGUCAGCUGACCAGGCUGGCUGAAACUAAGAAGAGGGGCAGAGUGGAAAUGAGGGUGGUAGAAAUAUUUGGGGACACCAAAAGAAAUGAUUUGCUUCUCUAGAGGGAAAUAGCAAAACUACAAAUUAUUUUUCAAGAUAUUGAAGGGAUAUUAAGAAGGCAAAGUCCAAUUUAGAAUGAAAUGGCCUCAAAUCUAGUAGUAAAACUACCUCUAUGGGAAGAGAGAAAUCUUAGGAGAGUAGAAAGAAGGAUGGAGCCAAACCUUCUCAUCCCUUUCUGAGUCUGUAAAUACAAACUUUGUUAUCCAUGACUAAAAUGUUAUAGCACUGUUUACCAAAUAUUCAUGUGUAUUAGAAGCACCUUAGGAACUUAUUAAAAAUAGAGAUUUUCUGGUUUAAAUCCUUUGGAUUCUGAUUUAGUACAACUUGCAUGGGUUUGAACUGUUCUUUAGUAAGUAUUCCCCAAAUGAAACUAAUACAGUUCUAAUGCAAGGUCAGGCCAUGCCUCAAGAAACACUGGCUUGUAGGGGGCUAUAGUUUUGUCUGUGUUCACAUACUGUUUAAGCACAAUUUAGUAAUGUUGUGAGUGCUUGAAGAAGUGGUUUGUAUGUGUAUUUAAGUGCACGUAUGUGUGUGAUUGUUGAGUAGGUAUAUAUAGUGGAACUAACUAAAAAGACAUUUCAUUCUAAAGAUUAGAUGUUCUCAAUUUUAUUGACUUUAUUUACAAGUAUUGCACUUAUGUAUAAUCUGUUCUUUUAUUGGUUGAGUUUUUAAAAUGUAAUUGGUUUCAGAUGAUUUUCAAAUAAUCCAAAUUUACAGAAUCAGAUUUUUAAUUAGAAAUUAAAAAUGGGAGAUGAGAGAAAUGAAAGAGUGUGUUAAUUAAAUAUGUACUUUCUUUUAUUAGAAAGUUUCAAUCACCCCACCUGAAAUUGAUUCUACCCAGAUGAUUUUCCCGAACUCUGGGAACAGAAAUUCCUGUUUUUGUUGUGUAUGACCAAGUAAAAACUGAAGAAACUAUGUAUAUUGUCAAAAUGACCACCCUGGUAAAGGUGAUAGCAUUCCCUAGAGAUAAGUAUUCUUAUGUUAGAAAAACUUACAGCUUCCUUUUCCAAUGGAAUAUUAAAAUAAUUGGAGUCUUCCUCUCUUUUUGUUGUUUUUUUUUUUCAUUUUUUUCCCCAGAAUUUGGUUCCUUUUUCAGAGGUUUCUUUUUGCAUUCAGUUCAGGAACUGUUAAAACUUGGCUGUUUUCCAGAACAAGAAAUUGAUUAGAUUGUAGAAAGAAUAAUGGAGACAGGCUAGUGGAUUCAAGGAAAAUUGUAUGUGUAAAAAGCAUCAAAUACAAUGCUUAGUGGAGUAUUCUGCCCAUUGCAAUUAUUCAUUUAAAGACAGUGGCUGGCUGACUGCUUGUGUAAACAGAGCAUUUUCUGCCCAGUGCCAGUUCAUAUGUUUAAUGUUAGAGAUUUUCUAAAGAUAGAGAAUGUUUUAGUAAUCUUUGUGUCUGUCUCCUUUGCCUAGCCCAGGGCCUGAGACUCAAAAGUUUAAUGAAUGUCUAGAUUAGAUUGGAGCAGUUUGGAAUAAGAUACAUAAUAAAUUUGUUAUGAUUUCCACCCCCAGCCUCUGGACCUAGAUUUGAUGAUCACAAUUAUAAAAAUAUAACCCACUGUGCCACUGUUAUACUCGGGGUGAUUGAUUUUUGGUUCUUAGGGCUAAAGUAGCUCAAAGGGUUGUCUUCAUCCAACAUACUUACUAUUCCUGUAAUUACUGAAUGUAUAAAUUUCAUGCCUCUUUUGUUUCAAACAGAAAAAUGGGCUUGGGGAAUAAGAAAAGCGAAGAAAUCCUUAGCCAAAAUAAUAUACAGCAGGUGUUCUUUAUCUCGGCUUGAUUUAGUUAGUCUUGCUCAUCCAAUACCUCAUGCUUGUCUGUCCAAAUCACUGAAUUUUAAACUUCGUUACACAUUAAAAAAAAAAAAAAAAAACUCACAAGAACCUUGUAUUCAGAAUAAAAAGAGCUACAGAUAGAAACUUUUUGAAGUUUGAGUUUGUGUCUCUUUGAAGGUCAGCUGCCUUCAGUUAAUUGCUCUGUUUUGUUGCUCCCUAUGUUGAUUACUUUUAUCUGGAGCCCUAAAGACCUGUGGGGACCUCUGGGGGUGACAGCACCACGACUGAGCAGUGCAUGUAGGGGCCCAGAAAUGUCAGCAUCAGAAACUUCCAUGUGAGGAUAAUGAGUUCAGGCAUUUCAGAAAUCAACCAGCUUCAGAGAAUUGCAUUUGAGUGUAGUCAUGCUUAUUUUUGAAAUAUAAGAGCUUGAGGCUCCCCUACUGAAAUAAAGAGUUUUCAAACAAAGGCCUGGAGGAGCUGGAUUGGCAGUUGCUUUCAUAUCUAAGGGAAUGGUACUGCUGUUCAACCUGAUCCAAAGUGAAAUCUAGAGAUGAGAGCAAAGAAGAGAGAUGCUCAAGGGUAGUUAAAUUGACAGAAACUUCUUAUUAAGAAAAAAUACAUGAGAAAUUUUCUUGGUAAUAGUCAUGUUAUUUAUCAUCUAUCUUUUUACCUCUCCACAUAGCUAAAGACAUUUUAUUUUAUUGUUCACACAUUUAGUUGUUUAAUUUUAAAUACUUUCUUGCUCAUACAUUUUACUGUAGAAUUGUCUUAAGGACUUGCAGCAGCAUUUUCUCAUGGUUAUGCCCUGAAUUAUGUCCUUCUCAAAUCCAUAUGAUGAAGCCCUAACCCUCAAUGCAAUGAUUUGUAGAAAUGAGGACUUUGGGGGGUAAUGAGGUCAUGAGGAUGGGCCCCUUAUGAUGAGAUUAGUGCCCUCAUAAGAUGAGAAAGAGACCCCAGAGCUCUCUGCCAUAUGAGAACAUAGCAAGAAUGCAGCCAUUGGCAAGUCAGUAAGAAAGCCCUCACCAGAACCCAACCAUGCUGGCACUCUGAUCUGGGACUUUCAGGCUUCAGAACUGUACGAAAAUGAAUUUCUGUUGUUUUAAGCUACCAGGCUCUGGUAUUUUAUUAUGGUAGCCCAAGGAGACUAAUACACUUGCAUAGUGAUAAUUAGCAUAUGGAUAGGUCAUUGAGUGAAGAUGUGAGUAAGAAAGAUGUCAUCUGUGUAAAAUUCCCUUUAACCAAUAGUGUACAUAGAAGUAUAUGUUUUAUGUAUAUGAAAUUCUGUCACUGUGUUUAUAAUUGGUAAUUAUAGCUUAAGGUUCUUUUAAUGUAUUGUGUUCUUUGAACAUUUUGUGAAAUACAGCCAUCGCUGGUGUACAGUAGAACUGAAGCUAUGUGUAAAUGGUUAGAGGACAGUGGAUCUCCCACAAAUUGAUUAUUAGAUAACAAAUGCCCAAGAUUUAGGAUUCAUUCCUUUGGGUUCAAGGCUUUGUAUCCUUGGGAAACCUUUGGUAAAAUGUAAAUAUCCUUAAAAGAGUAAUAAAUUGAAACUUUACUAUUAUUUUUCUGAGAAUGUAAUAAUUUUUAAAAUUAACAAAUUGUCCUUUUAGGGAGGAGAAUUAAGAUUCUAAGGAAGAGCAGAUUAAAAUAGGGAGGUUUCACAAUGGGGAGGAUGGGCCCUGAAGUGUUCACAAGGAUGAGGCAUCAGAGGGAAGAACACCCCUGAAAGAGCUCAGGUGGUACAGGGAAGCCAGUUGGCACUGAGCUCCUGGAAUAUGCCAACAGGAGAUACCCGGUCCUCUCUGAUCUCUGUGGCUCAAAAAUCUUUCUUCUCCCUGUCUCUGCCAUCUAAUCUGAAUGUUCUCAAACCAUCGCCUUUGUGCUGUUUUAAAACUCACUCCCAUUUUCAUAAUCACUACCAGAUUUCAUGUGACUAUUCCUAUCUCCAUUUCUCUUUCUGUCACUGAGGCUUCAUGCUGAAAUUAGUAGUUCUUUUAAUUUUUUAUUCUCUUUACCCCAGUUAGAAAUUUCCUAAAGUAGAAUAACAGCAAAGAGCCUGAAACCUGAGUCAAAACAACAAAUGUAAUAGAUACUCAGUGAUAAGAUUUAUGAUUAGCCUUUGCUGUGGGCAAAAAAAUUUUUUUAAACAUAUCAAUCAUGUCUUUAAAUUAUUACUCUGGCUGGGCACGGUGGCUCACGCCUGUAAUCCCAGCACUUUGGGAGGCCAAGGUGGGCGGAUUAUGAGGUCAAGAGAUCGAGACCAUGGUGAAACCCCAUCUCUACUAAAAAAAAAAAAAAGAAAAAAAAUGAGCUGGGUGUGGUGAUGUGCACCUCUGGUCCCAGCUACUUGGGAGCCUGAGGCAGGAGAAUUGCUUGAAACUGGGAGGCGGAGGUUGCAGUGAGCUGAGAUUGUGCCACUGCACUCCAGCCUGGUGCCUGGCAACAGACCAAGACUCUCAAAAAAAAAAAAAAAAAGAUUACUCAAAGGUCAUAGAAAUCUCUUUGCUAGACAGAAUCCUUUAAUUAAUGUUAUUCAGAGAUAAUUUUGCUUUAUUUCUAUCUCUUUACUCCUGUAGUUCCUGAUACCUGCAUGCACUUUGACAUGCCUAGAGAGUUUUUGAAGAAGUUCUGCCUUGUAUCAAUUUUUAGCCUAUAGUUAAGUAUACUGAUGCCCAUGUUCUCCUCCAAAAAAAUUAGUUUGGAGAAUAAAGGUAGGGUUCUUACAUAAUUUUCCCCAUUAAAAGUGGAGCUGCAAUCAGGUUAAAUACUAAAAAUGAAAAGCUGUCUUAACUGCUGCUUAAUUAAUGAAUAGAGAAAAAUGCAGAAGGGGCUAUAUCUAAAGUGACUUUUUUUUCCUCUGGGUUGAUCAGUGCUGCCUACCUCAUUGUUUUUUGAAGGAGAGUGUCUUUUGUGAUUAAAUCACUUGUCAGAUUUAUAUUGAUAUGCAAAGUUUCGUUUUAUUUAAUAUAUCUCUAGAAGUUUCACCAUCUGUUACUAACAUUCUUCCAGCAGGAAGUGCAAGAGAAUAGCAUUUGUAAGGUAAAAAUGUAUCAGCCAUCGCUAGAGCUUCAAAUAAUGUUUUAUAAUUAAGAUAGAGAACUCAGAGUAAAUGUUGAAGGAAUGUAGUUGAUAAGAGUAAAAUGAAGGCUAACACUGGAGAGUAGGCAAGAUGAGAAAAGCUGAAAGACGGGAAACAUAUUUACAUUUUUUCCGGAAAAUUUUCAGAAAAGUCCAUCUUAAUUUUAUUUACUUUUAGAGGAUGAUUAAAAUUUAGUGUUUCUCAGAAUUCAUUGUUUCACCUGUUUAGUUAAUACUUAUUAAACCCAACAAUGAAUAAAUAAGCAUGGUUACAGUGUGUGUGUGUCCUAAUGUAUGCACUUCCUGACACGUAUAAUCUUUUAUAAACAAUACAGAAAAUAGAUAAAGUUUAUCUUUAAAUAUAUAAAGUUUAAAUGCUGAAUUAAAAACACAUUGAAAAUGGGUGAGACUAGUUAAAUAUUUGACAUCCUAAAAAAAUAUUAGAUAGGUGGCACAAUAGAGAAAUAUUUAGACAUUUAGGUAAAUAUCUACAUAAUGGAACAUAGUCACUUAAAACAGGAAGGAGGUUGUCAGUGGAUCAUAGUACAUGGGAUUGUUAAAUCGAAGAGAAAAUCAGGGAAAAAAGACUUGUUAGAAUGGAAAGCUGAUUGUCAUAGUUUUUAGAAUCCUGAAAUUAUGACUUCUGAUUUAAAAUUAGACAUAUAGUAUAAAUAGACAAUUUUAAUUGGUUCAUUGACCUUCAAGUAAAGCAUGCUUAUUUCAUGCAGAGUGUCUAGUUUAUGGCAAUACACAGGUAAGAAGUUCAAAGUGAUUAUUUGAUGAAAAGAUGGUUCAAAGGAUGAUUUUGCCUGUAACAAUUCAGAAGAAAAAUAAGAAGUAAUCCUUUUUGUACUCUGUGUUUCUUUGUGGUGAUUUUGAUAGCAACAGAAAACUUCAAAAGGGAGCAUGAGAGAUGCUAAACAUACUCUUUAAAUAAUCCUUCUUGGAACUUCAGUGGUGAUGGUUAAAUGAUGGCUCUGUCAAACCUUUGCAUUAGAAAUAUAUUUUCUAUUUAUAGUAGAAGUGAGAUUUCUCUUUAUUACUCUUAAAAAUAUUCUUUUCAUGCUUAUGUGUCCCUGUGUAUAUUUGAACACAUUCAUACCAACUGUAACUCUAUAUUUAUUUCCAUUUAUAUAUCAUUUUAUUGAACCCAUUUUUACUGUUCAAUGAUUUUAAAAAAAAAUCAUUGAACUUUGGUAUUUUCCUUUUUAUCAUAAGUAUAAUGCAGGACAUUAGAAACUAUUUUGAAACAUGGAAAGGGUCUUUCAAAUUUUUGAUUUUGUACUAAUAAAUUAGUUAUAUUAUUAGCUAAUAUAACAAAUUCUAACAUAACUGUCUCUAAGUAUGUGUUAUAUGUGGUAGAAUGUAUUAUUUCUAUUAUUCACUCCUCUGCCUUGUAAGUAUAUUGUACAUCCUUGCCUUUUACUAUUUGGGGGGGUAAUAUUUCAGUUCUCCCUGUGGGAAGAGAGUACUCCUGGAUCCCAUUGAUAUCAGGCUUAUCAAUGUGAUUUUCUUUGGCCGGUAGAAUACAGAUGCUCCCCAACUUGUGAUGGAGUUAGAUCCCAAUAAAAUCAUCAUAAGCUGAAACUAUCAUAAAUUGAAAUACUUUCAAUACAACUAACCUGCCAAACAUUGAGCUUAGCACUUAAUAUUUAAAUGUUCAGAACAUUUACGUUUGUUGGGCAAAAAUCAUCUGGCAACAUAGUACCUUGUCGAGUACCAGUUGUUAACCUCAUAAUGGUGCAGCUGUCUGGGAGCUAUGGCUCACUGCCCCUGUCGAGCAUCUUGAGAGAGUGUGGUUAUAGAAUAUUGCUAGCCAGGGGAAAGAUCAAAAUUUUAGCUUAUUUUCCUACUCUUGUUCUUAUAGUAGAUCCCUUUCUCACAUAGACACAUACAAACUGCUGGUGGCAGUCAUUCUUUUAGCUCUUGGCUUUGAGAUAAACCAAAUAGAAAUUCUUUAAUUUUUUUGUAAUCAGGAAAUAAUGCCAUUAGUAUUUUUGAAUAGAUUCAUUACAUACAUUUUUAUCCAUUAUUAUUUGACUAGUUCCAUCUAAUUGUGAGUAUUUGUGUUUUCAAAAUUGAAAGCAUUGCUCUGAUUUUAUUUUUUAAAGAAGGAAAUUUAGUUAACCUUUGUUUUAGUUUUCUUGGGUUUUCUUUUCUUCCAAAGUGACUUUAACACAAAAAAACGUAGGGGAGUUCGCCUGUAAACCUUGUGAUUUGGGAGCUAUUGAUGACAGAUGUAAAGGGAGCUAUAAAUUUUAGCUCUUUAGUAGUGAACUAUCAAUAUAGUUGUAGCAUCAAUGACUUAUAAAUUAUUGUUCUCCAAUUGUAUAGAAUAUGAGAUGAGCAGUAAUCUAGUUAUAUGAAUCACAAGGCCAAGAUUCUCAUAAUACCUUUAUUGUACUAACUAUACAUUAUUGACAAAUAUGCUUGCAGAGGAUAAGAUAUUUUUUUCUUGAGCUUCCUAAAAGUAUAGAAUUUAAGUUAUACAUAAAUUCUGUAAGUGUAUCUGUUAACAUUCAAUUGGCCAAUAAAAGGUAUUGCCUUCAAAAUGAAAUUGCCUUUUAAGUAAUCUUAAAAGCCCCAAGAAUAUACUACAUACACAAAUACCUCUCAAUAGGAGGUAAUAUUUUCUAUGAAAUGUAUUACUCUAGUCGUAGCAUAUUCACAUAACUGAAAUAUUUUUUAAAUCUUAGGAUAAAUGAAAAAUUUGCUAUUUAUAAGUUAAAGUUAGAUUUUUCAUUCUCAUCUUUUCCUCUUUUUUCCAGUUCAGUUUCUUGGCUUUAUAUAUUCUAUAAAAUGGAACAUAAUGCUGCCCCACAGUUGAUUGUUCAUUCUGACCAUUCUAACCAUUGAUGUUGAUCUCUACUUAAUUAGUUCAGAAUGAGGCAAAGUGUUUAUUGUAACAACAGCAAAACUAAACAAUGACGCAUGUGGCAGGUUGGCUAAUGAAUUCCUGAUAUUAAUGUUUUAGGUUAAACAUAUCAGUUUAAGUCCAGAGUAGAUCAAGAUUUAAAAGUAUAAUUCAUAAUUUUUUGUGGGUAUGAUUAUGAGGAUGGUCUCUCAUAACUUGAACACUUCCUAUUCUAAGUUUAGAACUAACCCCAUUACACUUUACCCCUGACAAAAGAUACAGAUUUUAAAUUUUUAUUUGCAUGAGAGUUUACUCCUAAGAAACAUAUUUGAUUUUUUUUUUUUUUUGAGACAGUGUCUCACUCUGUCACCCAAGUACCCAGGACAGAGUUGGUAGCACAAUCCCAGUUCACUACAACUUCUGCCACCCAUGCUCAAGUGAUCCUUCCACUUUCGCCACCUGAAUGACUGUGACUGCAGGUACACGCCACCACGUCUGGCUAUUUUUGUAUUUUUUUUUGUAGAAAUGGAUUUUGCCAUGUUACCUAGGCUGGCCUUGAACUCCUGAGCUCAAGCAAUCUGCCUGCCUCAGCCUCCCAAAAUGCUGAGAUCGCAGUCAUAAGCCACCACACCUAGCCCAUACUAGAUUUUUAUUUAACAAAAAAAUCAAUAUUUGUACUAAACUUUUCAGUCUCAAACUUUGCUCUGAAAUAUUUUCUAAAAACUGUCUCUAUCUGAAUUCCUAA